UACGAAGGGGGCUAGCGUUGUUCGGAAUCACUGGGCGUAAAGCGUACGUAGGCGGACCAUUAAGUCGGGGGUGAAAUCCCAGGGCUCAACCCUGGAACUGCCUUCGAUACUGGUGGUCUGGAGUCCGGGAGAGGUGAGUGGAACUCCUAGUGUAGAGGUGAAAUCGUAGAUAUUCGCAAGAACACCAGUGGCGAAGGCGCUCAC
rnacentral:rRNA from 1 species